UUGCUCUCUGGAUCAGUGGCGAACGGGUGAGUAACACGUGAGCAAUCUGCCCUUGACUCUGGGAUAAGCGUUGGAAACGACGUCUAAUACCGGAUACGAGCUGCGAAGGCAUCUUCAGCAGCUGGAAAGAACUUCGGUCAAGGAUGAGCUCGCGGCCUAUCAGCUAGUUGGUGAGGUAAAGGCUCACCAAGGCGUCGACGGGUAGCCGGCCUGAGAGGGUGACCGGCCACACUGGGACUGAGACACGGCCCAGACUCCUACGGGAGGCAGCAGUGGGGAAUAUUGCACAAUGGGCGAAAGCCUGAUGCAGCGACGCCGCGUGAGGGAUUAAGGCCUUCGGGUUGUAAACCUCUUUCAGCAGGGAAGAAGCGAAAGUGACGGUACCUGCAGAAGAAGCACCGGCUAACUACGUGCCAGCAGCCGCGGUAAUACGUAGGGUGCGAGCGUUGUCCGGAAUUAUUGGGCGUAAAGGGCUCGUAGGCGGUCUGUCGCGUCGGGAGUAAAAACUCAGGGCUUAACCCUGAGCCUGCUUCCGAUACGGGCAGACUAGAGGUAUGCAGGGGAGACUGGAAUUCCUGGUGUAGCGGUGAAAUGCGCAGAUAUUAGGAGGAACACCGGUGGCGAAGGCGGUUCUCUGGGCAUUACCUGACGCUGAGGAGCGAAAGUGUGGGGAGCGAACAGGAUUAGAUACCCUGGUAGUCCACACCGUAAACGUUGGGCGCUAGGUGUGGGACUCAUUCCACGAGUUCCGUGCCGCAGCUAACGCAUUAAGCGCCCCGCCUGGGGAGUACGGCCGCAAGGCUAAAACUCAAAGGAAUUGACGG
rnacentral:rRNA from 1 species